rnacentral:rRNA from 1 species
GCGGCUAGGCUAACACAUGCAAGUCGAACGGGUAACAGGAAGAAGCUUGCUUCUUUGCUGACGAGUGGCGGACGGGUGAGUAAUGUCUGGGAAACUGCCUGAUGGAGGGGGAUAACUACUGGAAACGGUAGCUAAUACCGCAUAACGUCGCAAGACCAAAAAGGGGGACCUUCGGGCCUCUUGCCAUCGGAUGUGCCCAGAUGGGAUUAGCUAGUAGGUGGGGUAACGGCUCACCUAGGCGACGAUCCCUAGCUGGUCUGAGAGGAUGACCAGCCACACUGGAACUGAGACACGGUCCAGACUCCUACGGGAGGCAGCAGUGGGGAAUAUUGCACAAUGGGCGCAAGCCUGAUGCAGCCAUGCCGCGUGUAUGAAGAAGGCCUUCGGGUUGUAAAGUACUUUCAGCGGGGAGGAAGGGAGUAAAGUUAAUACCUUUGCUCAUUGACGUUACCCGCAGAAGAGGCACCGGCUAACUCCGUGCCAGCAGCCGCGGUAAUACGGAGGGUGCAAGCGUUAAUCGGAAUUACUGGGCGUAAAGCGCACGCAGGCGGUUUGUUAAGUCAGAUGUGAAAUCCCCGGGCUCAACCUGGGAACUGCAUCUGAUACUGGCAAGCUUGAGUCUCGUAGAGGGGGGUAGAAUUCCAGGUGUAGCGGUGAAAUGC